rnacentral:rRNA from 1 species
AUUGAACGCUGGCGGCAUGCUUUACACGUGCAAGUCGAACGGUAACAGGGUGCCUGCACCGCUGACGAGUGGCGAACGGGUGAGUAAUGCGUCGGAACGUGCCGAGUAGUGGGGGAUAACGCAUCGAAAGGUGUGCUAAUACCGCAUACGUACUGAGGUAGAAAGUGGGGGACCUUCGGGCCUCACGCUAUUCGAGCGGCCGACGUCUGAUUAGCUAGUUGGUGAGGUAAAGGCUCACCAAGGCGACGAUCAGUAGCGGGUCUGAGAGGAUGAUCCGCCACACUGGGACUGAGACACGGCCCAGACUCCUACGGGAGGCAGCAGUGGGGAAUUUUGGACAAUGGGCGCAAGCCUGAUCCAGCCAUGCCGCGUGUCUGAAGAAGGCCUUCGGGUUGUAAAGGACUUUUGUCCGGGAGCAAAUGCCUGGUGUUAAUAGCACUGGGAGCUGAGAGUACCGGAAGAAUAAGCACCGGCUAACUACGUGCCAGCAGCCGCGGUAACAC